rnacentral:rRNA from 1 species
GAGGAAUAUUGGUCAAUGGGCGCGAGCCUGAACCAGCCAAGUAGCGUGCAGGAUGACGGCCCUAUGGGUUGUAAACUGCUUUUGUAUGGGGAUAAAGUCAAUCACGUGUGAUUGUUUGCAGGUACCAUACGAAUAAGGACCGGCUAAUUCCGUGCCAGCAGCCGCGGUAAUACGGAAGGUCCAGGCGUUAUCCGGAUUUAUUGGGUUUAAAGGGAGCGUAGGCUGGAGAUUAAGUGUGUUGUGAAAUGUAGACGCUCAACGUCUGAAUUGCAGCGCAUACUGGUUUCCUUGAGUACGCACAACGUUGGCGGAAUUCGUCGUGUAGCGGUGAAAUGCUUAGAUAUGACGAAGAACUCCGAUUGCGAAGGCAGCUGACGGGAGCGCAACUGACGCUUAAGCUCGAAGGUGCGGGUAUCAAACAGGAUUAGAUACCCUGGUAGUCCGCACAGUAAACGAUGGAUGCCCGCUGUUAGCGCCUGGCGUUAGCGGCUAAGCGAAAGCAUUAAGCAUCCCACCUGGGGAGUACGCCGGCAACGGUG